GACGAACCGUGCGAACGUUAUUCGGAAUCACUGGGCUUAAAGCGCGUGUAGGCGGGCCGCCGCGUCGGCUGCUGAAAUCCCCCGGCUCAACCGGGGAACGGGCACCGAUACGGGCGGCCUCGAGGGGGGUAGGGGGACCUGGAACUUCCGGUGGAGCGGUGAAAUGCGCAGAUAUCAGGAGGAACACCGAUGGCGAAGGCAGGUCUCUGGGCCACUACUGACGCUGAGAAGCGAAAGCAUGGGGAGCGAACAGG
rnacentral:rRNA from 1 species